UACGUAGGUGGCAAGCGUUGUCCGGAUUUAUUGGGCGUAAAGGGUGCGUAGGCGGUCGGACAAGUGGAAGGUGAAAUCCCCAGGCUCAACCUGGGAACUGCCCUCCAAACUGUUUGACUUGAGUCCGGGAGAGGUGAGUGGAAUUCCCAGUGUAGCGGUGAAAUGCGUAGAUAUUGGGAGGAACACCAGUGGCGAAGGCGGCUCACUGGACCGGAACUGACGCUGAGGCGCGAAAGCGUGGGGAGCAAACAGG
rnacentral:rRNA from 1 species